UACGUAGGGUGCAAGCGUUAAUCGGAAUUACUGGGCGUAAAGCGUGCGCAGGCGGUUCGUUGUGUCGGUGGUGAAAGCCCCCGGGCUUAACCUGGGAAUGGCCAUGGAAACUGGCGAACUGGAGUGUGGCAGAGGGGGGGUGGAAUUCCGCGUGUAGCAGUGAAAAUGCGUAGAGAUGCGGAGGAACACCGAUGGCGAAGGCAGCCCCCCCUGGGCUAGCACUGACGCUCAGGCACGAAAAGCGUGGGGGAGCAAAACAGGG
rnacentral:rRNA from 1 species